rnacentral:lncRNA from 1 species
UGUGAGAGGUUGUAGAGGACGAGCUUUCAGUCCUUUCGCAUUAUCAACGUGUAGUCUUCGCACUCGAGCGAUUCAUCACAGGGCAGAUACUCUUCGGAAUAGAGGACGUUCUUAUUCCAACCUGAGUUUAGGACAUUUUCACCAGCAAGAGAAGGAAGGAGGGAGGGAGGGAGAGAGAAAGGGUUGAGAGGAGGAGAAGAAAGGGUAGGGUGAGGCAGGAUGGUUGGCAUGGUUUGUAGGGUAGAAGGUGGGAUAGAGUGC